UACGGAGGGUGCAAGCGUUAAUCGGAAUUACUGGGCGUAAAGCGCACGCAGGCGGUCUGUUAAGUCAGAUGUGAAAUCCCCGGGCUUAACCUGGGAACUGCAUUUGAAACUGGCAGGCUUGAGUCUUGUAGAGGGGCGUAGAAUUCCAGGUGUAGCGGUGAAAUGCGUAGAGAUCUGGAGGAAUACCGGUGGCGAAGGCGGCCCCCUGGACAAAGACUGACGCUCAGGUGCGAAAGCGUGGGGAGCAAACAGG
rnacentral:rRNA from 1 species